UCAAAAUCCACUAGCAGGAUAAGUGAACCUACAUCAGCAUCGCCCCCAAGCCAACAUCCCCUGUAUAGUUAGCUCUAAUUGGCAGAUGACAUUGUUUGCACACCUGACACCGGACCGGGAAAUCCACGCUCUAUUCUCUGCACAUGAUUACUAGAUGAAAUUAAAUGUCAUAUUCUCGAUGUCUCGUAAGAUCUCUGGCUUACGGUUGUUCAAAAUAGAGACAGAAAAAUCAGAGUGGCAUUGAAAACCUUAACAGAAGCGUGCAGAAAUCAGGCGUAAAUGGACGGAAGAAGGGCGUCACCUCUCGAACUAUUCACCCAGCCACACCACCUUGGUUGGUCGUACAAAGUUGAUCGUAGAAAUCACUGGAACAAAAAAUGGGUGUGUAAGGAUCACAGAAAUCGAAUGUUUGAAUAAUAAGAAAAAGCAAAUUUUCAAAUUGAUUUGGAGGAUCAAUUUAUAGCAUCCAUUUCGCACAAUUUUCUACAGCAGGGUACCAUGGAUCUUGCCAGUUAGGGCAAUGGAAAUAUCAGCGGAAUGCUCAUCUUGC